CUACGGGCCGCUGCAGUGAGGAAUAUUGCACAAUGGGGGGAACCCUGAUGCAGCAACGCCGCGUGGAGGAUGACGCAUUUCGGUGUGUAAACUCCUUUUAUAUGUCAAGAAAAUGACGGUAGCAUAUGAAUAAGCACCGGCUAACUCCGUGCCAGCAGCCGCGGUAAUACGGAGGGUGCAAGCGUUACUCGGAAUCACUGGGCGUAAAGGACGCGUAGGCGGGUUGGAAAGUCAGGUGUGAAAUCCCACAGCUUAACUGUAGAACUGCACUUGAAACUUCUAAUCUAGAGUAUGGGAGGGGAAGAUGGAAUUAGUGGUGUAGGGGUAAAAUCCGUAGAUAUCACUAGGAAUACCUAAAGCGAAGGCGAUCUCCUGGAACAUUACUGACGCUAAGGCGUGAAAGCGUGGGGAGCAAACAGGAUUAGAUACCCCCGUAGUC
rnacentral:rRNA from 1 species